rnacentral:misc_RNA from 1 species
AAGUCGUAACAAGGUUUCCGUAGGUGAACCUGCGGAAGGAUCAUUACUAGAGCAAAGGAUAGACAGCGCCCGCGGAGCUUGCUCCCUGGGGCUACCCUACUUCGGUAGGGUUUAGAGUCGUCGGGCCUCUCGAAGAAGCUCGGUCCUGAACUCCACCCUUGAAUAAAUUACCUUUGUUGCUUUGGCGGGCCGCCUCGAGCCAGCGGCUUCGGCUGUUGCGUGCCCGCCAGAGGACCACAACUCUUGUUUUUAGUGAUGUCUGAGUACUAUUUAAUAGUUAAAACUUUCAACAACGGAUCUCUUGGUUCUG